UACGUAGGGGGCUAGCGUUGUCCGGAUUUAUUGGGCGUAAAGAGCGCGUAGGCGGCUUGGUAAGCCGGAUGUGAAACCCCCGAGCUCAACUCGGGGCGGCCAUUCGGAACUGCCAUGGCUAGAGUCUGGUAGGGGAACACGGAAUUCCCGAUGUAGCGGUGGAAUGCGUAGAGAUCGGGAAGAACAUCGGUGGCGAAGGCGGUCUGCUGGGCCGUUGCUGACGCUGAGGCGCGACAGCGUGGGGAGCAAACAGG
rnacentral:rRNA from 1 species